UCUCUAGAGCAACAGGGAAGUACAGGGGGAGAGAGGGAGGGACCAGCUCAUGCCACGGCUGUCUUCUUGUGGGACUGGAGUCAAGGGUCAUAUACCCAGAUGACUGCGGAAAUUUGAGAACACAGCAACAAUGCAAUAUAAAAUCUCUACUUCAGCAUAAGAAACUGUGGCGCAAUUAGCUUAGUCAUUUCCAGUUCUUUUAACCUGAGGAAAUAAAGACUUAUCGAAAGCAGGGUCUGGAUCUGUGCUGGUCAUGAUUCUUUGCCUGCAAACCCAGCCCAAAUUUUCUUACAACACAGCAUGUAAAAAUUUUCCCACAACCAGUGCCUACUACAAAGCCUGCCAAGAUCAUUUAACAAAGGAACGGUGGCUAUGGAGAACCUCUGUGAACCAUACCUGUUCUAUUACACUCUAAACUGUCAAUCACAGCCACCUAUGACCUGAGAUACAAACAAAAGCUUCUAGAAAUCACAGAAAGGAGCCACCAGCAACAAAAUGGGAGGUUUGUUCCGAGGGCCAUUUAGAAAAUCUUUCACUUUUCACCUACC